GACGAACCGUGCGACCGUUGUUCGGAAUCACUGGGCUUAAAGGGCGCGUAGGCGGCAGAUCAAGUCCGGGGUGAAAUCCUCCAGCUCAACUGGAGAAGUGCCUUGGAUACUGAUGUGCUCGAGGGAGGUAGGGGUCCGCGGAACUUCUGGUGGAGCGGUGAAAUGCGUUGAUAUCAGAAGGAACGCCGGUGGCGAGAGCGGCGGACUGGAUCUCUUCUGACGCUGAGGCGCGAAAGCUAGGGGAGCAAACGGG
rnacentral:rRNA from 1 species